UAUGAGAAGUAUUAAGUGGAAGCUGUACUGUCAAUGUUCCUGUGGCCUGGAUGUUACUGGGUCGGCAUAUUCAACCAGAACACUGUUACUGAAGCUAGCUGAUCAUCGGUGGGAUCUUCCUUGGAAAUGGUGCUGUCCAGCUAAAUGUGUUGAGGUGGUGUGUGACAAGGCUGUUUUUGCCAGCUCAUGGGUAAGCUCUGUUGGGCUGGGGGGGGAGAGUCCCAUUCUUUGUGUGGGGAAGAAUGAAGAUGGCUAACUGAAGCUCCCUAUUGGGAAUGGGACACCCUCAACAAUGCAUCUGUAAUGUGAAACUGGUUUGUAUGUUGAUCCUCUGACCGGUUAUGUCCUUGACCCUGUAUCAUGCCUGUGCAAUAAAGUGAAGGUGUCACUAGAA